rnacentral:tRNA from 1 species
GCCGAUGUAGCCUAAUCUGGUAAGGCAACGGUCUCGAAUAAUAAUAUAGAUAACCGUUUCCGAAAGGAAUUGUAGGUUCAAAUCCUGCCAUCGGCG